rnacentral:tRNA from 1 species
GGGCAAUUAACUCAGCUGAUAGAGUGCUUCCUUGACGUGGAAGAAGUCAGGGGUUUGAGUCCCUUAUUGCCCACCA